GUUUCUGCUCAGAGAAGCCCUUGAAGCUCCGGAGAGCAUGGGGGCUCAAGGUCCCGGCAGAAAGGGAACCCGCCCUGGCAGACCUCGCAGCUCUGCCAAGACUAGACGGCCAGGCGAGAAGACUUGCCCGGGGCAAGAGCACGGAGGAAGGGGUAAGAAGUCAGAUCUCCAAGUUCCAUUCCUUGCCCAUGCCCGGGCGUGCCUGGCACACUGUGAGGGAGGCUGAGGAAGCAGGAGGUGAGAGAGAUGGGCCCAGGUUUAAACAAUCGUGAAAAACCAUGCAGGAUGGGGGUGACAUCAGGCGGCCAGCUUCGAGGACAGGGACAAAGCAGACACUCCUAGACUGUCAGGGAUAAGGGCCAGUCAUAUCCGAAAGGAAAAAAUAAAAGGGAC
rnacentral:lncRNA from 1 species